rnacentral:rRNA from 1 species
UUCGGUCCUGAGUAAAGUGGCGCACGGGUGAGUAACACGUGGAUAAUCUGCCCUUAUGAUCGGGAUAACAGUCGGAAACGGCUGCUAAUACCGGAUACGCUCAAAAUGAACUUUUUGAGGAAAGGUGACCUCUGCUUGCAUGUUACCGUAUAAGGAUGAGUCCGCGUCCCAUUAGCUUGUUGGUGGGGUAAAGGCCUACCAAGGCAACGAUGGGUAGCCGAUUUGAGAGGAUGAUCGGCCACACUGGGACUGAAACACGGCCCAGACUCCUACGGGAGGCAGCAGUGGGGAAUAUUGCGCAAUGGGCGAAAGCCUGACGCAGCGACGCCGCGUGAGGGAUGAAGGUUUUCGGAUCGUAAACCUCUGUCAGAAGGGAAGAAACCGCACUGUGCUAAUCAGCAGUGCCUUGACGGUACCUUCAAAGGAAGCACCGGCUAACUCCGUGCCAGCAGCCGCGGUAAUACGGAGGGUGCAAGCGUUAAUCGGAAUUACUGGGCGUAAAGCGCACGUAGGCUGCUUUGUAAGUCAGGGGUGAAAUCCCACGGCUCAACCGUGGAACUGCCUUUGAUACUGCUUAGCUUGAAUCCGGGAGAGGGUGGCGGAAUUCCAGGUGUAGGAGUGAAAUCCGUAGAUAUCUGGAGGAACAUCAGUGGCGAAGGCGGCCACCUGGACCGGUAUUGACGCUGAGGUGCGAAAGCGUGGGGAGCAA